rnacentral:rRNA from 1 species
CGGGAGGCAGCAGUUAGGAAUCUUCCACAAUGGGCGAAAGCCUGAUGGAGCGACGCCGCGUGAGGGAUGAAGGCCCUCGGGUUGUAAACCUCUAAAAGGGGGACGAUAAUGACGGUACCCCUCGAAGAGCACCGGCUAACUCCGUGCCAGCAGCCGCGGUAAUACGGAGGGUGCAAGCGUUAUCCGGAAUCACUGGGCGUAAAGGGCGUGUAGGCGGCCUGUUAAGUCCGAUGUUAAAGACCGGGGCUCAACCCCGGCACGGCGUUGGAUACUGGCAGGCUAGACGGCUGGAGAGGAAAGUGGAAUUACCAGUGUAGCGGUGGAAUGCGUAGAUACUGGUAGGAACACCCAUUGCGAAGGCAGCUUUCUGGACAGCCCGUGACGCUGAGGCGCGAAAGUGUGGGGAGCAAACCGGAUUAGAUACCCGGGUAGUCCACACCCUAAAC